AAAGAAAAAACAUUUCAAAACAAAAUCGGGUAAAACCAAUGAAAACCUAAAUUCCUCUCUCUUCCUUUCUCUCCUUACUCUCACUGAAAUGGCGAUGGAGUAGAAGUUUCAUCCCCACCCGGUGCGUUCAACUGAAAUCGAUGAGAACCCAUUUUGAAGGAGACCUCACCGCAAAACCACCACCACCACCCCCACUGGCGAUGCAGCAGUUACGCACAAUUUUUCAUUGAUUUACCCCAAUGUAUUCACGCGAUUGACGAGGCGAAGAUGAAAGUCUGAAUUGUUAGUGUUA
rnacentral:lncRNA from 1 species